CGGCCGUGUGGGAAAAGACCUCCCGGAUCAUCGAGUCCACCCCAUGACCGAGCACUGCCAUGUGAACUAGAGCAGGGCACCGAGUCUUUCCUUAAACACCAGGCCACGUCCAGUAUUUCCUUAAAUACCUCCAGGGACGGUGACUCCACCACCUCCCCUGGGCGGCCCAUUCCAAUGUCUAAUCACCCUUCCCGUGAAGAAAUUCCUCCUGAUGUCCAGCCUAAACUCCCCGGUCCUCUUGUUGUGUUGGUGGUUGUCUGGGAGAAGAGACUGACCCCCACCCUCCCUUCAGGGAGUUGUAGAGAGCAAUGAGGCGACAGAAUCACAGAAUUCACAGAAUCACAGCGUCCUUAGGGUUGGAAGGGACCUCUGGAGAUCAUCCAGUGCAACUCCCCUGCCAAGGCAGGGUCACCUGGAGCAGGUGACACAGGAACACAUCCAGCUCCCUCAGGUGCUCGUCUUCAGACUUGUGCUCCAGACCCUUCCCCAGCUUCGUUCUCUUCUCCGGACACGCUCCAGCACCUCAAUGUCCUUUGUGUCGUGAGGGGCUGAAAACUGAACGCAGGAUUCAACGUGUGGCCUCACCAGUACCAAGUACAGGGGGAUGCUCUGCCUCUUGUGAAAGAUCGCUUCGAGGCCAAGAGUAACUGGUAUGGGAUGAAAUUCAGUUCUGUGGGGCUUGGGGUCAUAUACUUAGGAAUUAAUAAGAUUGUAGUUUACUCACUGGGAGCUCAUCAUCAUAGUCGUGGUCAUGGAGUAGACCUUGUGUGUUCUAAUUGAUUCCACAGAGUCAGUCUGUGGCCCCUAUGAUGCAUGCAAGAAGAAGAAGAAGAAAGAAAGGCAAAUAUGAUUUUAAGAGGUGAUUUGGUGAUUUUAAACUUCAAAUGUGAUUUUAAAUUUCAAAGUAUUUUAGAGAUAUAUAUCCACAGCUUAAUUAUUGCUUAUGCUUCUGGUCGCCCACAUUCCAGAAGCCAGGCUAAAAGAGGGGCAGAGAGAAUGGAAACAGCACAGAACAGACUCUAUUAUGAGGGAUGAGGGGAGUGUUGUUCCUUGAGUCCAGCAAGACAAAUACGAAAGGAUUUAUGGCUGCUGUCUUGAGGACAAGCAUUUGCCAUCUGAGAAGACAAAGAGGAAGCUCAGGAGGCUUCUAAAGGGGGUUAUAUGAUGUCCCUGCCUGGGUUACCAGAGGAUUGGAUCUGGGAAAGUGGGUCCCUCUGCACUGAUAUUUCUGCUGAAACCCAAAGCUCUCCUUUGCCAACUGCUGGCACGAUGCAUAGUAAGUCUUUCUAAUUUGAGAAACACACGACUCUUUGCAGACCCCAAUUACUCAAAAUAGGUCUUCCAGAAAAUGUCACUUUGCAAUAUAACCUCUCCCAUUUCUUUCACUCUUCUGUUCUCUGUUCACUCCCAAGAGCAAUGACCCCUCCCUGUCACACCUGGCUCAGGCAGUCUCCUGGGAAGGGAGCAGCUGUGCGCGUGAGGCAGCUGGUGAACAACCUCAUCUGCCAGGAGAGAUGCUGACAGGCCCAAACAGCAAGCAGCCUUGUUCCAGGAGUUACAGCAUGAAUUCCUGUGUUCCUUUGGAGUCCAGCGGGUCUGUGAGGGAAAAGCUGUGCUGGGACUGGGAUGGCACACGAGGAGACUGACCAGGACUGUCUUUACCCCCACCAGGUAAGUAUUUUUUAUUGGAUAUCCAUGAGUGGAUAUCCACCUUCUGGGUCCCCCUGAGCGAGAGAGAGUGUGGCUUUGGGUCGUCACUGUUGUCUGUGCAGUAACAACAUCCCUGACUGCUACACUGAACCUGUCAAACCUCACUGGAGUGGUGUUGUGAUUACCACUGUGGUUAAUUAGUUUUGGCCAUUGGUUUUGGUGGGGACUUAAAGUUUGACUGAGUUGCUGCCUGCACAAAGCUGUCUCCCUGUACCCCUGUGGUGCAUCCCAAUGCACGCUCGGUGCAAUGAGGUGUUAGUUUGCACCAGGUUCAGUAUCUUCACUUCUGGGGCUCCAGACCCAGCUGAAGGUGGCUGCAAUAUCUGAACUUCAAGGUCAUCUCCUGAGGUGACCCCUGAAUGUUCCUGCCAUUAGCAGAUACUCCUGGUUCAGAAAGGAAUUUUAAGGAAAGGUUGUAAAUGUGAUUCUAAAUGUCUCUUACAUGUUUCCAACUGAAGUUCACACUUGGUGAGCAAGCUGCAGGUUUUCCAAGUAGAGAGCAGAUGGACUGGACCCAGGCAACUUCUCCACCGUGUAUCCCACGCUGCUCACUCUGCCCACGUGACAUGGAAGAUAAAUUGGUACGCUGGGAGUCUCAUGAAGCCUGUCAGCAUGGGGUCGGCUGGCAGGCUGCACACAGGACCAGUUUAAGGACAGUGUAGAUACAACAGUGUAGAUACAACAUGGAGAACCAUGUGAGGUUUCCCUGCUUCCCAAAGCACGCUCCUGGCAAAGAGCACAGGCACAGGCAGCGUCUCUUUAUGUUCUUGGGAUGCCACAUGGACCUUUAAGCAUUAUAAAUAACAGUGACUGGAUACACUUUCUCAGACUAAGAACUGUGAUAAAAAACAAAGUGUUGCUGGAAAUGAUAUUGCAGGAUUUGUAUGUGGGAGUAGUGAUAAAACAAGUAUGAUCCCACUGUCAGCCGCUUGGAAAGCUGUGAUUUCAGAACUGUUCCACAUCCCAGUUAUAGUGGUGCAACAGGAAACAAAGAGCAUAUGGGGAAACAAAACCGAUGAUCUACAGUUUGAGAAUGCAUGAAAUAGAAAUGAGAUGGUUCUGAUGAAGCAGGGAGCUCCCUGUGGAAGACAUUCAUCUUAACUCAUUAGCCAUUUGGGGAGGAAACAAAUCCCUAGCUGGCAGAAAGCUAAGUAAUAUUUUUAUAUCCCAACACCUUCUAAAAUUUUUAAAAACACAAUUAAGUCUUGAAAUUGGAAUAAGCCAGGUCCGACCACAGCAUCCCUCUUGGGAUCGAUGGGAUACUGAUAGGUUAGUUAAUCACAAUUAUUUUCUGAAAUGUAUUGCAAAGCAAUACAUUUCUGGUUUUUGUUACAAUUUCUCUGCACAAGGAGAGGAAAUUUGGACAAAAGCAAUCUGGGCUGCUCUGUCUCACUGCCUUUGGCCUUUUUCUCCUACAUGAAAUGGGUGUCACAUGCAGCCAUGCUCAUGCCCAGCAUGUAGAUUUCCCACAUUCCUGGAGGCAGUGAGAUGUGCUGGCAUGGGGAUUACGUGUACCAGGGGUGAUACUUCCAGUUUUUCCAGAAGUAACACUAUUCAAACUCUUUUUCAUCUAAAAUAAGAGAGAACUAUGAGGACAGAAAGCCUAUUAAAAAUGGAAAUAUCUGUGGAGAUUUACUGAUCUUUUGCUAACCAGUCAAUAAUUAUUUAACUCAUCUAAUCUGUCCUGGAGUAAUGGAGUAAUGUGUUCUACAAAUUGUCAUGAAAUGUCCUAAGAUUACAAAAUUUAAUAAAAAUUAAUAUUGGAAGUCGAGAACCCCACAACUCCUAGUGCAAGUUGUCUGGAAU